ACGGAGGGGGCUAGCGUUGUUCGGAAUUACUGGGCGUAAAGAGCGCGUAGGCGGAUUAGUAAGUUGGGAGUGAAAGCCCGGGGCUUAACCUCGGAAUAGCUUUCAAAACUACUAGUCUUGAGUGUAGUAGGGGAUGAUGGAAUUCCUAGUGUAGAGGUGAAAUUCUUAGAUAUUAGGAGGAACACCGGUGGCGAAGGCGGUCAUCUGGGCUACAACUGACGCUGAGGCGCGAAAGCGUGGGGAGCAAACAG
rnacentral:rRNA from 1 species